UACGAAGGGGGCUAGCGUUGCUCGGAAUCACUGGGCGUAAAGGGUGCGUAGGCGGGUCUUUAAGUCAGGGGUGAAAUCCUGGAGCUCAACUCCAGAACUGCCUUUGAUACUGAGGAUCUUGAGUUCGGGAGAGGUGAGUGGAACUGCGAGUGUAGAGGUGAAAUUCGUAGAUAUUCGCAAGAACACCAGUGGCGAAGGCGGCUCACUGGCCCGAUACUGACACUGAUUCACGAAAUCGUGGGGAGCAAACAGG
rnacentral:rRNA from 1 species